rnacentral:rRNA from 1 species
UGGGGAAUAUUGGACAAUGGGCGAAAGCCUGAUCCAGCCAUGCCGCGUGUGUGAAGAAGGUCUUCGGAUUGUAAAGCACUUUAAGUUGGGAGGAAGGGUAGUAACCUAAUACGUUGCUGCUUUGACGUUACCGACAGAAUAAGCACCGGCUAACUUCGUGCCAGCAGCCGCGGUAAUACGAAGGGUGCAAGCGUUAAUCGGAAUUACUGGGUGUAAAGCGCGCGUAGGUGGUUCAGCAAGUUGGACGUGA